AGUCUCCAGGCCCCUCCCUUUGUGGUGCCGUCAGCGAUGAAGGCUGGUGGGAAAGCACCCUGUGGAAGUCGGCGACCUGGAAGCAAGGCCUGGCCCCGUCUGACUCACGGAGUGACUACGGGCAACCAAGGACCGUCAGUGUCCAGGCCCUUCUACCCACAGCCUUCAGAAGGAUGGCCAACCGCAGAGACGUUUACACCUCCCUUCCCACACGAGCCCUGAGGUCCCUGACAUCAUCUCCCCAGGGCAGAGGAGCUGGGCAGGUGCCCAGGGACGUCCCUGGCAUGUCCCUCGUUCCUCCAUCGCCCCAGCUGAAGUGCAUUAGAACACCGCCGCUCCUCCCCAGCCCUCUGAAAGGACUUCAGCUCCACCGACAUACAAAGGUUCAGCAGCGUGGCCCUGUCAAGGUCAAGGCUGGACGUACUUACAGCGUUGCACGUUGUGAGCUGUCAGAGUGGCUUGGGGAUGUGACAAAGAGCAGACAAAAUCCAUGGAGAAAUCUGGAUCCCGGAGAAAAGCCAACCAGCCCUGAAGGUCAACACCACCUCUGGAAUCCGCUUGUCCACUUCUCCGGGACGACCUCACCAGCCUUCCUAGGGGUCCCAGGGUUUGGUCUCUUCCUUCCCAAAACCCAAACCCGGCCCUCUAACUCCGGUGCCCAAAGCCCCUCAAAGACGCCCCUGUGCCAGGAUAAGUCCGUGCUGUGGGGUGCGCCAUCCAGCUCAGUUAGGCCUCUUUUGGUGCUGGCCACAGGCCCAGCUCCACCGGCCUCCGGCUCACUGCUGACCUAACCAGGGAGGAGGAAGGCGGGAGAAAGAGAGAAAGAGAUCGCUGAAGAAUUUGAUUCCCAGGUCCAACCAAGAAGCCAGAAACCCCUGGACUUUUCACUUAACGUCAGCCAAGAAACAUCACAACCCCAUUUUUUUCUUUAAAUAAACUUGGUCCACU
rnacentral:lncRNA from 1 species